rnacentral:rRNA from 1 species
GAUGAACGCUAGCGGCAGGCUUAACACAUGCAAGUCGAGGGGCAGCGCGGGAUAGCAAUAUCCUGGCGGCGACCGGCGGAAGGGUGCGUAACGCGUGAGCGACAUGCCCGUUGCCCGGGGACAACCGGUGGAAACGCCGACUAAUCCCCGAUGGGAUAUUGUGCCGCAUGGCACGAUAUUGAAAGUUACGGCGGCGACGGAUUGGCUCGCGUCCGAUUAGCUUGUUGUCGGGGUAACGGCCCACCAAGGCUGCGAUCGGUAGGGGUUCUGAGAGGAAGGCCCCCCACAAUGGGACUGAGACACGGCCCAUACUCCGACGGGAGGCAGCAGUGAGGAAUAUUGGUAAAUGGGCGGAAGCCUGAACCAGCCAUGCCGCGUGCGGGAAGGAGGCCCUAUGGGCUGUGAACCGCUUUUGCCUGGGGGCAAUAAGGGCGUCGCGCACGUCCGAUGAGAGUACCAGGCGAAUAAGCAUCGGCUAACUCCGUG